AUGCAAAUAUAUGAAAGCUGGUCUACCACCUCCAAUGCACAAGCUCCUCCACCCCAACAUGAUGACAAUUUGGAAACUUCACAAGCUAAUAUGGAGCAACAACAACCUCCACAACAAGCCCAGCAGGCCAACACAAGUGCAGAGACCAGUACAGUAGUAGAAGAUCUUAUGGUGGAUCAAAUGCUUCAGCAGAGGCCCUUGCCUAGAGUGCUUCAGCACACACCAAUCCCAGAAUCAACUUUCUUAACAAAUGCACAAGCAAUGUUGAACCAGGCCCAGACAAGCACUAACACAAUCAGGCAAGGAGAGCUAGCUAAGAAGAUGCUGGCCAUGAAGCAGCAAAGAGAAAAAGAACUUCAAGAUAGGAAACAAGCUAUACUAGAGGCAAGGAUAGAAGCAGAGUUGAAGAAAGCAUAA
rnacentral:rRNA from 1 species